UUGGGUUGGGUUGUGUAAAGUAUCAAAUUGGGUUCGUCUCUGAAUGGGCAGCUCUUUGAAAAACAUGUCAAAUGGAUUCGAGUCAAAACAGGUUGGGUCAGAGCGGGUUCGCAUGCUAUGUUUGUUUUUAUGGAGGUUAGUGGCGAUGGUUGUGUUGGCGGCAUGGCUACUGCUGUGGUGGCACCGAUGACGACUGAUAGAUGACUCUUUUUUGCUUUAACAGCACAUAGAUCGCCACAGCGUAAUGCAUCACAUGGAUCACUGAGGUGGAUUAACAUCCUAUAAUCCGGAUUGCCAACCUGGCAGGUGACACAAUGCCUUGCAUUUUGUCUAAGAGCAUGUGUUUCCUGCCACAUAGAUCAGAUGUUGGCUAG
rnacentral:lncRNA from 1 species